rnacentral:rRNA from 1 species
GACGAACGCUGGCGGCGUGCCUAAUACAUGCAAGUCGAACGCUUCUUUCCUCCCGAGUGCUUGCACUCAAUUGGAAAGAGGAGUGGCGGACGGGUGAGUAACACGUGGGUAACCUACCCAUCAGCGGGGGAUAACACUUGGAAACAGGUGCUAAUACCGCAUAACAGUUUAUGCCGCAUGGCAUAAGAGUGAAAGGCGCUUUCGGGUGUCGCUGAUGGAUGGACCCGCGGUGCAUUAGCUAGUUGGUGAGGUAACGGCUCACCAAGGCCACGAUGCAUAGCCGACCUGAGAGGGUGAUCGGCCACACUGGGACUGAGACACGGCCCAGACUCCUACGGGAGGCAGCAGUAGGGAAUCUUCGGCAAAGGACGAAAGUCUGACCGAGCAACGCCGCGUGAGUGAAGAAGGUUUUCGGAUCGUAAAACUCUGUUGUUAGAGAAGAACAAGGACGUUAGUAACUGAACGUCCCCUGACGGUAUCUAACCAGAAAGCCACGGCUAACUACGUG